rnacentral:ncRNA from 2 species
AAACAACUGAAUAGCUCUUUUCGUAUAAUCCCGGGAAUUGGCCCGGGAGUCUCUACGAGGUCACCGCAAAUGAUCUGUCUACGGAAAGUGAAAAUACAUAC